UUAGAAAGAAUUUAAAUGAAAAAUUUGUCGCAUAUUGGCGACUAGUGGUUGGAUGUGUAAAUGUUAGGGUAUGGCUAUGGAAAGCUCGAGCUCAUAUAGGAUUAGCCUAACAAUUAUUAGAUUAAACAUUUGCAUCUAGAUUCGUGCAUUUAUUAACUUUAAUUAAUUUUACACAAAUUUUAAUAUAAAUAGUUAUUCUAAUAGUUAAUAAACGUGUUCUUAUAUGAGAUCGAGUUUAUAUUAGAUGUACUCUAAAUGUUAUAUUUUUGGCAUCCUUUUUCCUUUGGGUGGAUGUGAUCUAUAAAAGAUGUUAUAUUAUGCGCUCUUUAAUUUAGAAGCUUCUAAAAUGUGCACUUCAUGUCAAUAGCUUUGCAUAAACCAUUGAAUUAUACUGAUUUUGUGAGCAUGAAGCCCAAAAACUGAAGCUGACUGAUGUACAUAUAUGUUUCUGCGUGGUCUUGACAGCUGUACAAAACUCGU
rnacentral:misc_RNA from 1 species